UACUUAGAAAACAAUGAGAUAUACCUAAUUUUCCCUGAGCCUUAUGGUUCAGAGAAAUUAAAGACUUUGGCUCUUGAUCCAGCUAUAUUAAACAACUUCUGUCCCUUUGUUUGUCAAAAGGGGCAUGGAAAAUCAACUACACAGGAUCUUGGAGAAGUAGAAGCCGUUCCAUCAGGAUUCAUGCCUGUACAUAGGCACCAAUAUAACCACCAAGGCAAUCCCCGGGUUAAGAAUGUCUCACAGCAAAAGAAGGAACUCCUCUGCAACUUGCUUUAUUGAAACAUCCAGAAGAAGUAACUCCAGUGAAUCUACAAGAAUUAUAAUAUAUAUGGGCAGAUCAAGAUCAUGGAGCCACUUAAC